CCUCGGGUGGCAGCAGUGAGGAAUAUUGGUCAAUGGGCGCAGGCCUGAACCAGCCAAGUCGCGUGAGGGAAGACUGCCCUAUGGGUUGUAAACCUCUUUUAUAAGGGAAGAAUAAUGACUACGUGUAGUCAGAUGCCCGUACCUUAUGAAUAAGCAUCGGCUAACUCCGUGCCAGCAGCCGCGGUAAUACGGAGGAUGCGAGCGUUAUCCGGAUUUAUUGGGUUUAAAGGGUGCGUAGGCGGUAUUUUAAGUUAGUGGUAAAAUCGCGGGGCUCAACCUCGCUCCGCCGUUGAAACUGGCGUUCUUGAGUGGGCGAGAAGUAUGCGGAAUGCGUGGUGUAGCGGUGAAAUGCAUAGAUAUCACGCAGAACUCCGAUUGCGAAGGCAGCAUACCGGCGCCCAACUGACGCUGAAGCACGAAAGCGUGGGUAUCGAACAGGAUUAGAUACCCCUGUAGUC
rnacentral:rRNA from 1 species